rnacentral:rRNA from 1 species
GACUCUCGGCAACGGAUAUCUCGGCUCACGCAUCGAUGAAGAACGUAGCAAAAUGCGAUACUUGGUGUGAAUUGCAGAAUCCCGUGAACCAUCGAGUUUUUGAACGCAAGUUGCGCCCGAAGCCUUUUGGCCGAGGGCACGUCUGCCUGGGCGUCACGCA